rnacentral:rRNA from 1 species
GACGAACGCUGGCGGCGUGCUUAACACAUGCAAGUCGAACGGUAAGGCCCUUCGGGGUACACGAGUGGCGAACGGGUGAGUAACACGUGGGUGAUCUGCCCUGCACUUCGGGAUAAGCCUGGGAAACUGGGUCUAAUACCGGAUAGGACUCCGGACUGCAUGGUCUGGGGUGGAAAGCUCUUGCGGUGUGGGAUGGGCCCGCGGCCUAUCAGCUUGUUGGGGGGGUGAUGGCCUACCAAGGCGACGACGGGUAGCCGGCCUGGGAGGGUGACCGGCCACACUGGGACUGAGAUACUGCCCAGACUCCUACGGGAGGCAGCAGUGGGGAAUAUUGCACAAUGGGCGCAAGCCUGAUGCAGCGACGCCGCGUGAGGGAUGACGGCCUUCGGGUUGUAAACCUCUUUCAGCAUCGACGAAGCGAAAGUGACGGUAGGUGCAGAAGAAGGACCGGCCAACUACGUGCCAGCCGCCGCCGUAA